rnacentral:rRNA from 1 species
UACGGAGGGGGCUAGCGUUGUUCGGAAUUACUGGGCGUAAAGCGCACGUAGGCGGCUUUGUAAGUUAGAGGUGAAAGCCCAGGGCUCAACCCUGGAAUUGCCUUUAAGACUGCAUCGCUCGAAUCAUGGAGAGGUGAGUGGAAUUCCGAGUGUAGAGGUGAAAUUCGUAGAUAUUCGGAAGAACACCAGUGGCGAAGGCGACUCACUGGACAUGUAUUGACGCUGAGGUGCGAAAGCGUGGGGAGCAAACAGGAUUAGAAACCCCCGUAGUCC